rnacentral:snRNA from 1 species
AGGAAAAAAUUCUCGACUUUUC